ensembl:lncRNA
AAACUAAAGCAAUUUAUAAAUGUUGCUUUAUUUAUUUUCCUGUAUUUACACGAGCAACUUUAAAGAAGAAAUAACAUUCUAAUACCGAUGAUUUUGAAAGGAAAUAUUAUGUCCAUACAUCCACUGGCAAACAUCUUACUAUCCAAUGACAAAGUGAACUCAGGAUCUGCACUUAGGCCAUAAAAAUGUGAAUAAAUACUGAAUUUUGAGAGCGUACACUAAUAAUUCUGGGAACAAUAACAAUAACCAGAGGCUUUUUUGUCAUAAAUUUGUUUUAAAUACAAAUACAUUUAGGAAACUCUUGUUCAUCUCAUCAUUUUCACUUGGUCCAGAUGGCACGCUUUACACACUGUUCAGAUUUUAGUCACACAUCCAACAUUAGGCACCAACCACUUCUGUGCUCAUUUGCAAAGCACAGAACUUAAAAAAACAAAAAGGCACAGUUUUGUCUUUCUUACAUUUCACUGUAACCUUUUCCUUUACCACGUCUGGCCACUUGGAUGAUUUUAUUUGGAAACCGGUUGUUUCAGUGUACAGUUCCCCAUCAAACUAUAUCACUGAUUAAAUACCAAUGUUUUUAUAUAUAGAAUUAUAUAUAGAAUUUUGUGUAAAAUUCCACAGCACAAGCGCUUGCACCAAAUGUAUUAUUGUUAAUAUUGUGCCAUAUACUGUAUACAGACAAUUUCAUUCACAUAUACAGUAUAUCCAUACUUUUUAAUUAUAAGGCGGUUUCCUGUUCAUUGAGAUGCAAUGUGGAUUUAACUGCAACACAUGGCCCACAUGUCUAAUACACAUGUUGUACUUUCUCUUUUCCAGUCACUCUUCAUUUCCUGUCCUCCACGUCUCAUCUUUUCAUUUAUGAAACACAGCUGGCGUUUUUAUCAUUUUGGCAUUUUUGAACACUGCAGCAUGAAUACAAUGUGGAACAUAAUGCACUUAACACAAAGCAGUAGCAUACACAAUACACUUCUUAGCUUAAUAAUACAUAUGUACACAAGUGUUUGCCCUUCGUACAUCUAUAAAACAUUUUAAAAAUGUCAAAAACCCACUUACAUGUUGCCAAAAAAUUCCAAAGCGAUACAGCUCUUUAUACAAAAACAGUCUGAUCAUACAAUAUUUAAAGAAGCAGUAAGUAGUAUUUUAGUCACAACUAGUGUCAUAUUAUUGGCUGUUUGCUGAUUACAUGACUAACCAUGUACAGCACAUUCUGCUGUAAGCAUAUUCAAUAUGUUUUGAAUGUUUCGUAUACAUUUCAAACAUUAUUGCAGGACGUUUUGAUUAAUUGCGCCAAUAAAGACGUGCUUAACUAUUCCGCUCAUUUCAGAAGUAAACAGAUAUGUAACUUUCUGAUAAAUACUGAGUAGGAUUCUAGGAAAUAAUUUAACAUGGUUUUUAUGCUUCUGAUUUGGAAAGAAAUGUAUUUAGAGUAAACUCAGCAUUCUGAAUAUUCUCUCUCUCUCUCUCUCUCUCUCUCUCUCUUGUUCUCUGGAGGUUUUUUGUUUUAUUUUAGUAUUAUUCUAAUGCUACUUAUUGCUUCUUUAAAGCUUCGGAGCUACACACAUACCUGUGCAUGGCUGGAUGUGUUAUUUCUUCACAUUAGCUGCACAGAUUUGUUGGGUAGUCUCGAUGCAUCGG